rnacentral:lncRNA from 1 species
UGAUGUGAAAAUUAUCUUAACACACAAAUUUAACCCUCUUUUGACAAUUGUAGUACAAGUAUUAGUAGGGAUGGUUCUGGACCGGGGAUUAGGAGGGCUUGCUAAUAACCUCUAAACUAACUCAAAAACAUAAAACUAAAUUUAAAAACACUUAACAAGACUCACAAGACUUAAAGCAAACUGAAAAUACUCAAAACUGCUUAAAACAACUAAAUAAACUUAAACUAGACACUAGGAAUGACUUUGGACGAAAAUUGACUUUUACUUGAAUCAAAAUAUUUAAAAACACAAAUUAAAACAGAUUUGAAACACUUUGAAACAAGAAACUAAAAGAAGGGUUUUGAUUUGGAGGAAGUUGUAACAAACAAACAAGUAUGAAAAACUAGACAGAUUGUAAAAUAAAAUUGAGAAAUAAGAUGAUGGAUGGGAUAGCUAGAGGCUUUUUCUCCACACAUGACAUGUAUGCAAAUAAC